GCAAGGUUAACCGUAUAGGGGAGCCGGAGGGAAACCGAGUCUUAAUUGGGCGUUAAGUUGCAGGGUAUAGACCCGAAACCCGGUGAUCUAGCCAUGGGCAGGUUGAAGGUUGGGUAACACUAACUGGAGGACCGAACCGACUAAUGUUGAAAAAUUAGCGGAUGACCUGUGGCUGGGGGUGAAAGGCCAAUCAAACCGGGAGAUAGCUGGUUCUCCCCGAAAGCUAUUUAGGUAGCGCCUCGUGAAUUCAUCUCCGGGGGUAGAGCACUGUUUCGGCUAGGGGGCCAUCCCGGCUUACCAACCCGAUGCAAACUGCGAAUACCGGAGAAUGUUAUCACGGGAGACACACGGCGGGUGCUAACGUCCGUCGUGAAGAGGGAAACAACCCAGACCGCCAGCUAAGGUCCCAAAGUCAUGGUUAAGUGGGAAACGAUGUGGGAAGGCCCAGACAGCCAGGAUGUUGGCUUAGAAGCAGCCAUCAUUUAAAGAAAGCGUAAUAGCUCACUGGUCGAGUCGGCCUGCGCGGAAGAUGUAACGGGGCUAAACCAU
rnacentral:rRNA from 1 species